rnacentral:rRNA from 1 species
CAUGCAAGUCGCAGGGUAACAUGAGGAAAGCUUGCUUUUCUUGAUGACGACUGGCGCACGGGUGAGUAACGCGUAUCCAACCUUCCCAUAACUACGGGAUAACCCGUUGAAAGACGGCCUAAUACCGUAUGACAUCGUUUGCUGACAUCAAAUAACGAUUAAAGGUUUAGCGGUUAUGGAUGGGGAUGCGUCUGAUUAGCUUGUUGGCGGGGUAACGGCCCACCAAGGCGACGAUCAGUAGGGGUUCUGAGAGGAAGGUCCCCCACAUUGGAACUGAGACACGGUCCAAACUCCUACGGGAGGCAGCAGUGAGGAAUAUUGGUCAAUGGGCGAGAGCCUGAACCAGCCAAGUAGCGUGCAGGAUGACGGCCCUAUGGGUUGUAAACUGCUUUUAUGUGGGGAUAAAGUGCGUGACGUGUCAUGCAUUGCAGGUACCACAUGAAUAAGGACCGGCUAAUUCCGUGCCAGCAGCCGCGGUAAUACGGAAGGUCCGGGCGUUAUCCGGAUUUAUUGGGUUUAAAGGGAGCGUAGGCUGUCUAUUAAGCGUGUUGUGAAAUUUACCGGCUCAACCGGUGGCUUGCAGCGCGAACUGGUCGACUUGAGUAUGCAGGAAGUAGGCGGAAUUCAUGGUGUAGCGGUGAAAUGCUUAGAUAUCAUGACGAACUCCGAUUGCGCAGGCAGCUUACUGUAGCAUAACUGACGCUGAUGCUCGAAAGUGCGGGUAUCAAACAGGAUUAGAUACCCUGGUAGUCCGCACGGUAAACGAUGGAUGCUCGCUAUUCGUCCUAUUUGGAUGAGUGGCCAAGUGAAAACAUUAAGCAUCCCACCUGGGGAGUACGCCGGCA